AUAUUUUGUGAGGAAAAACAUACAAGAAAAUUGAUCCAGUAAAAUUGAUAGUAAUCCCAUAAGUGGAAAAAUGUAUAUUUAAUGAAAUAGACAGUGUCUAAGAAUUUCGAAGGAAAAGAUUAGAAUUGAGCAGAAACUCUGAAUUAUGAAUGAAUCCAUGAGUCAAGAGAAAUAGAAAAAUAAUUUGGCAGUGCUCACAUUCAAGACUCCAUAGAUCUUUAAAAUAGUGAAGAAAGGUACCUAUAAAGAAACAUAAAAGGGACUUCAAAAUCAUACUAAUAUUCUAAGCCAAUGAUUUCAUUCAAGUGAUAAAUUCCUGGGAAAGACGCUUCCUCCAUCCAUCUCUCCCUAGCAGCACCUGCUCUAACCAUACAGACUUGGACACUGAGAGCCAAUGAGCGUCAGAGGUGGGAUUUGAAGCUGGAUCUUCUGACUUGAAGCCAGUUUUCUCUUAUCUGCUGCAGCUUAGAAGCAAAAGGCCUCAUAACAGAUGGGACAAAUCCUGGAGGAACAGAGCGAAUCCCAUGUAAGAGCACAAGUCUUCUGACUGGUACACCUCACUGUGAGGGAAUGGGAUAAGCCGCCUCCGCUCCUCCCCGUGAAGGUAUCCUGGAGAGAUGGGAUUAGUGCAGGUGAAUGAGACAGAUCAGAAAAGGCCAUGGCCUUGGGAGAUCUCCAAAUAUCCAGGAAGUGGCAGCCUCCGGAGCCAGGAUGGAGUGAUCUGUUGGAACCAUCAUGGCUCUAAGUCAGAUUUGGCAGUAAAGAUGGCGGUGAUUCCUGGAGCCCCUUCCUCUAGCUGCUCUGAUGCCCUUGGUAGUGAAUUGAUGGGAUGAAUCCUUGUAAUUCUUACUUUAAGGCUUGGGUAGCAAAGAGGACAGUGUGCCCCUGGUUCAGGGCAAUGUGUUUGUCAUUCUUCUCCUGUGGGAUCUUGUCAGGAAAUAUUUUUUUGUAAAACCAACGACCCUCUCCAAAUAAGCCAAACAACCUCAGAACUAAUUGCCCUCAAUCAGUUAAAUAGAAUUAGAUCACUUGUCACUGAAAUACCCAAUUAUAUAUGUAGGAGAAGUGUUCAGUGUAAUUAAAGAUUGAUAUUAGGGAGAAUACACUGUAAUGGUGAUAGGGCUGACGAUUUUAGAGAGAGCAAAUAGAAUGACAGCCUUAAAGCCCUGGGUCAAAUUUUGCUUCUGUCACACAUUGGUUGUAUGACCCUGGGCAAGUCAUGGGUUGUAGAGAAGAUGCCAACCUGUACAGAUCGUUUCAUUAUCAAUGAACAUCUCCAUACUCUCUGCCUCCCUCCAUAUCCUUGGUAUGCUUUGAAGAAGAAGAAACUAAUUUUUACAUAAGCAAAAGAAAGCAGAAUUAUUUAGCUUAAUCUCCUGAAAGAAAGAAAAAAUAUGCACAGGUACAGUAUUACUACUUAAAAUCUAUUUCAUUGUAUAUAGCGAAACAGAAUUCUUUUCUAUGACCAUGGAUGAUUGAGGAAUAGAUUAAAUAAAUGUUGAACUGUCUCUUCUGAGAUGAGCUCU
rnacentral:lncRNA from 1 species